CACGUAGGGCGCGAGCGUUGUCCGGAUUUAUUGGGCGUAAAGAGCGUGUAGGCGGUCAGGUAGGUCCGUUGUGAAAACUCGAGGCUCAACCUCGAGACGCCGAUGGAAACCAUCUGACUAGAGUCCGGAAGAGGAGAGUGGAAUUCCUGGUGUAGCGGUGAAAUGCGCAGAUAUCAGGAAGAACACCCGUGGCUAAGGCGGCUCUCUAGUACGGUACUGACGCUGAGACGCGAAAGCGUGGGGAGCGAACAGG
rnacentral:rRNA from 1 species